GCUUGACGCCACGCAAGAGGACCAGGUCAGGUCCGGUGCGCGUGCGUGCACGGUGCACCACACCCACACCCGUGUCGGACGCGGCGGCUCAACCGCUUUGACCCACCACCCGCGUCUGGUUUAUGCGGGCCCCACCUGUCAGUCAGAACCACCAAGGCCCGUCCGGUUCGCGCCGCGCUCCCUUCGUUCGUGCGCUUCCUCGGUCGCCGGCGAUGGCGAUGGCGCCGGCGGUGGUCUCGGGCGAGAGGCUCGUCGUGUUCCUCUUCGUCGCCCGCGUCGCGCUCGCGGCGCCGGCCCAGCUCGCCGCCCCGCUCGCAGUCCUUGCCGCGGCCGCCCUCGCCGUCGAGCUCGCCGUGGAUGCCUCCGCCUCCGCCUCCGCCUCCGCGUCCUCAUCCCCGCUCCGCCGGUUCAGGACCAGGCCGGGUGCUUCAUCAGGCAUACUUCUUGGUGCCACUACUCUGCCUAGUGUCAUGCUUUCACGGUUAAUUCAACUUUAUAGGGUCUUACUAGCCGAUCCUAAUGGACGUGAAGAAUAUGCAUACCUUGAAAUGCAGUACUGGGCAGUAUCUGUUAGCUGCCUCAGCAUGUUAGCAUUUUUUGUUUGGCAUCUACGGCAGUCUCCCAGCAAUGGAAAUUCUAUAGCUUCGAAAUACGGCUUGUUGCUCAUCAUUUUAUAUCCCCUGGCAUACUUGUUUCACCUUUUACUGAAGACUGAUGGAGGUCUGCUGGUGAUGAGUAAUUUGGUGUAUUUGCUGUGUCAUGGAGUGGCUGCUGUGAUCUUAAUCCAGCAUAUUCUAGAGAAGUUCCCUUCAUGUUCAUCUUUUGGGGAGGCCAUUUUGGUCUCAAGUGGUCUUGUUUCUUUACUGUGGUGAUAUGCUGGCUCAUACUCUUUCAAAGAUGGAGUUCUCCGUAUCAUCAGAAGCAUUUAUUCGCGCACCUGGAACUCGAAACGAGAUAGGCACAGUUAUUCAGGGGGUUUUGCUUGGUCUUUUUCUUCUCCCCUUGUUAUACAAAAGCUCCCUUCAAGUUUUGGCUUACUGUAGAAAACUGGAGAGUCAAAGAACACAAACAGUUGAGGAAUGCACACAGAAGAGAAUUGACUGUGGUGUAUUUUAUGUUUCAUUGUUGAUAGCACUAUUGUUGUUAGUGCCAUCAUGGACGCGUCUUAUUCAAGGUUUUGAAGUGCAUCCAUUUGUUUGGGUUUUUAACUAUAUUUUCACCGAUUCACGUGAACGGCUUGCUUUAUGCGCAAACUGGAUAUUUGUGAUAUAUGUAUCAAUUAGAAGGUUCUACAGUAUAUCAAAACAAAGCAAAACGGAGAGGAUUCUUUUGCGCAAGUAUUACCAUCUCGUUGCUGUCCUAAUUUUCUCUCCUGCAGUAAUAUUUCAGCCUGAUUUCUUGGACUUGGCAUUUGGUGCAGCAUUUGCUGUUUUCUUAAUAUUGGAGAUGGUUCGAGUUUGGGAAAUAUACCCUCUUGGGCAUAUUGUGCAUCAGUUCAUGAGUGCUUUCACUGAUCACCGCGAUUCGGAGAUUCUAAUUGUUAGUCAUUUCUCACUCUUGCUGGGAUGUGCACUUCCUAAAUGGAUGUCAUCAGGAUUCAAUGACCGACCUCUUACACCAUUUGCUGGAAUUCUCAGCUUGGGUAUUGGUGAUACCAUGGCAUCAAUGAUAGGUUAUAAGUAUGGUGUCCUAAGAUGGAGCAAGACAGGAAAGAAAACAAUUAAGGGCACAGCAGCAGGCAUAACUUCUGUAUUAGCAGCCUGCUCAAUCCUGCUGUCACUCUUAGCUUCAAGUGGAUACAUACUUUCACAGCAUUGGAUAUCACUUUUGGUAGCUGUGACAUUGAGCGGUUUAUUGGAAGCAUAUACAGCCCAACUCGACAACGCUUUCAUACCCCUUGUCUUCUAUAGCCUCCUAUGUCUAUAGGAGCAACCAGUUGUACAUCAAACUAUACCUUGAGGCCCUAUUCUUACCAUGACUUAUCUAGUGACUAGUGCAGUACAGUAUAGGUAUAGCCCUUCGAAAUUUUUUUUUAAAAUCCUCUUAUUGGUCGCAUUCUCUGUAUUCCUGGACCGAGAAAUUGUGUCCAUUACUAAAAGGUUGAGUUUAGGUUUAGGAAAUAAAGAUGAAAAUAUGAAAGGUUGUUUAGUGAAUCCUUCAGUAGAGAGCAUCUUUGGUAUGAUAGACUUCUGAGCCUAUCUGGAGGCAACAAGGCAUCAAUGUAUCAUGGAAGGUAUGUUGUCUUUCAGAACUAGAACUUCUUCUGCAGGUGGUGAUACCUGUUUCACCCCACAACUCCACAAGCAGUUGGGCAAGAAUAGCAAGCUGAGAGUAAAGCCAUAUGCUGCAAGGAGCCUGAAAUACGGAGACUUGGUUCAGAAUUAAUGUAUAUAUAUAUGCUACCUUAUUUCCAUGGACAUGCGAAGGGUAAUUAGUUGUAGUAGCUAAUCUCCUGUAAGUUUUGCGUCAUCACUGUACGGAGUAAAAGAUAACUACUCAGAUUGCAACCGCGCAUUGAUGUAAAUUUUGUUCUUGACCUGAGAAAAAAUGAAAUCGAAGUAAGCAAAGCUGCAAAUUAAUGUUCUC